GGUGCUUGCACCUGGUGGCGAGUGGCGAACGGGUGAGUAAUACAUCGGAACAUGUCCUGUAGUGGGGGAUAGCCCGGCGAAAGCCGGAUUAAUACCGCAUACGAUCUACGGAUGAAAGCGGGGGACCUUCGGGCCUCGCGCUAUAGGGUUGGCCGAUGGCUGAUUAGCUAGUUGGUGGGGUAAAGGCCUACCAAGGCGACGAUCAGUAGCUGGUCUGAGAGGACGACCAGCCACACUGGGACUGAGACACGGCCCAGACUCCUACGGGAGGCAGCAGUGGGGAAUUUUGGACAAUGGGCGAAAGCCUGAUCCAGCAAUGCCGCGUGUGUGAAGAAGGCCUUCGGGUUGUAAAGCACUUUUGUCCGGAAAGAAAUCCUUGGUUCUAAUAUAGCCGGGGGAUGACGGUACCGGAAGAAUAAGCACCGGCUAACUACGUGCCAGCAGCCGCGGUAAUACGUAGGGUGCGAGCGUUAAUCGGAAUUACUGGGCGUAAAGCGUGCGCAGGCGGUUUGCUAAGACCGAUGUGAAAUCCCCGGGCUCAACCUGGGAACUGCAUUGGUGACUGGCAGGCUAGAGUAUGGCAGAGGGGGGUAGAAUUCCACGUGUAGCAGUGAAAUGCGUAGAGAUGUGGAGGAAUACCGAUGGCGAAGGCAGCCCCCUGGGCCA
rnacentral:rRNA from 1 species